UUAUUUCCUUACACAGCUGACUGAGUGCAGUCUUAGUGCCAGCAUCUGUCUUUGGUGGUAAAUAAACAGCCACAAAAAGUAUAGCUGAAAGCUCUCUAGGCAAGUAGUGUGCAAUUUAUCACAAUAUACUCUACUUCCGGCGAGCAAAAUCUAGAGACUUCCUUAGAUUUCGUGCACCAGCUGUUGUUUACAAAUAUGCACAGACCGCCCCCCCUCAUUUUACCGGAGUGUGCUGUUCUAUCUUGCUGGUGCAGCGUAUAUCCCGCUAGCUGAAUAUCCAUGUCCUCAAUCAGCCACGAUUCCGUGAAACAUAGGAUAUUACCGUAUUUGAUGUGCCAUUGGUAGGAUAUUCGUGAUCGUACCUCGUCUAGUUUAUUGUCCAAUGACUGCACGUUGGCGAGUAGUAUUGACUGUAACGGCAGCUUUCCCACCCGCCUUUUCCGGGUCCUGACCAGGCAUCCGUCUCUGCGUCGCUUCCUCUUGCAAAUAAUGGGAAAGUUGGGUGUUUGGAGAAUGUCUUGUGCGUCUUGCUUGUUGAAGAAAAAAUCUUUGUCGAAUCCGAGGACCUGAGCCCUAGGUCCAUGCCUCAGGACUACCUAGCAUGAUGACUCCUUGCUGUCCCCAGUCCACCUGGCCGUGCUGCUGCUCGAGUUUCAACUGUUCUGCCUGCGGCUAUGGAACCCUGACAUGUUCACCGGAUGUGCUACCUGUCCCAGACCUGCUGUUUUCAACUCUCUAGAGACAGCAGGAGCGGUAGAGAUACUCUUAAUGAUCGGCUAUGAAAAGCCAACUGACAUUUACUCCUGAGGUGCUGACUUGCUGCACCCUUCGACAACUACUGUGAUGAUUAUUAUUUGACCAUGCUGGUCAUUUAUGAACAUUUGAACAUCUUGGCCAUGUUCUGUUAUAAUCUCCACAUGGCACAGCCAUAAGAGGACUGGCCACCCCUCAUACCCUGGUUCCUCUAGGUUUCUUCCUAGGUUUUGGCCUUUCUAGGGAGUUUUUCCUAGCCACCGUGCUUCUACACCUGCAUUGCUUGCUGUUUGCGGUUUUAGGCUGGGUUUCAGUACAGCACUUUGAGAUAUCAGCUGAUGUAAGAAGGGUUAUAUAAAUACAUUUGAUUUGAUUUGGUUGAGAUACAGGAAGUACAUUGUUCUGGGAUUUUAAAAACAGAAAGAAAAAACCCAAGCAGUAUUUUCCCAGAGUAGGAAACAAAUGAGAACAUUAAAGGUUGAAUGACCACGUUCUUUCUAAGUGGUAAAGAGAUGUCUGCAGUGUCUAACCUGAACAUACAGAAGGGAAACAUGAUAUCAUUAAACACUAUGCAUCCUC